UUGAACGCUGGCGGCAGGCCUAACACAUGCAAGUCGAGCGGUAACACAGAGAGCUUGCUCUCGGGUGACGAGCGGCGGACGGGUGAGUAAUGUCUGGGAAACUGCCUGAUGGAGGGGGAUAACUACUGGAAACGGUAGCUAAUACCGCAUAACGUCGCAAGACCAAAGUGGGGGACCUUCGGGCCUCAUGCCAUCAGAUGUGCCCAGAUGGGAUUAGCUAGUAGGUGGGGUAACGGCUCACCUAGGCGACGAUCCCUAGCUGGUCUGAGAGGAUGACCAGCCACACUGGAACUGAGACACGGUCCAGACUCCUACGGGAGGCAGCAGUGGGGAAUAUUGCACAAUGGGCGCAAGCCUGAUGCAGCCAUGCCGCGUGUGUGAAGAAGGCCUUCGGGUUGUAAAGCACUUUCAGCGGGGAGGAAGGCGGUGAGGUUAAUAACCUCAUCGAUUGACGUUACCCGCAGAAGAAGCACCGGCUAACUCCGUGCCAGCAGCCGCGGUAAUACGGAGGGUGCAAGCGUUAAUCGGAAUUACUGGGCGUAAAGCGCACGCAGGCGGUCUGUCAAGUCGGAUGUGAAAUCCCCGGGCUCAACCUGGGAACUGCAUUCGAAACUGGCAGGCUAGAGUCUUGUAGAGGGGGGUAGAAUUCCAGGUGUAGCGGUGAAAUGCGUAGAGAUCUGGAGGAAUACCGGUGGCGAAGGCGGCCCCCUGGACAAAGACUGACGCUCAGGUGCGAAAGCGUGGGGAGCAAACAGGAUUAGAUACCCUGGUAGUCCACGCCGUAAACGAUGUCGAUUUGGAGGUUGUGCCCUUGAGGCGUGGCUUCCGGAGCUAACGCGUUAAAUCGACCGCCUGGGGAGUACGGCCGAAAGGUUAAAACUCAAAUGAAUUGACGGGGGCCCGCACAAGCGGUGGAGCAUGUGGUUUAAUUCGAUGCAACGCGAAGAACCUUACCUGGUCUUGACAUCCACAGAACUUUCCAGAGAUGGAUUGGUGCCUUCGGGAACUGUGAGACAGGUGCUGCAUGGCUGUCGUCAGCUCGUGUUGUGAAAUGUUGGGUUAAGUCCCGCAACGAGCGCAACCCUUAUCCUUUGUUGCCAGCGGUUAGGCCGGGAACUCAAAGGAGACUGCCAGUGAUAAACUGGAGGAAGGUGGGGAUGACGUCAAGUCAUCAUGGCCCUUACGACCAGGGCUACACACGUGCUACAAUGGCAUAUACAAAGAGAAGCGACCUCGCGAGAGCAAGCGGACCUCAUAAAGUAUGUCGUAGUCCGGAUUGGAGUCUGCAACUCGACUCCAUGAAGUCGGAAUCGCUAGUAAUCGUAGAUCAGAAUGCUACGGUGAAUACGUUCCCGGGCCUUGUACACACCGCCCGUCACACCAUGGGAGUGGGUUGCAAAAGAAGUAGGUAGCUUAACCUUCGGGAGGGCGCUUACCACUUUGUGAUUCAUGACUGGGGUG
rnacentral:rRNA from 1 species